UGCCAUAUCACCCUGAAACACUGGUUCUCGUACGAUCAUCGAAGAUAAGCAACGUCGAACCUGGUCACUACUUAAAUGGGUGACCGCUUGGGAAUGCU